CCUCAUGCCUGUUAGAAUGGCCACCAUCGAAAGAACAAGAGGUAACAAGUGUUGGCGAGGGUGUGGAGAGAAGGGAACCGUGUGCCCUACUGGUGGGAAUGUAAACCAGUGAGGCCGCUGUGGGAAACAGAAUGCACGUUCCUCAAAAAAUUAGAAAUAGAAAUGCCAUAUGGUCGGGCACUUCCACUUCGGGGUCUGCAUCCAAAGGAGAUGGAAACAGGAUCUUGUGAGAUCCAGGCAGAGAUUGGGCACAUUCAGAGGGGUGUGGCCAGAGACCUAAAACAGGAUCUUGAAAAGACGUGGGCGUUCCCAUGUUUAUUGCAGCGUGAUUCGUAGUGGACACAAAGAAACAACCUAAAUGUCCACCAAUGGGUGGAUGGAGAAAGAAGACAUGGCAUACAUAUUGUAUCCAAUGGGCUAUUAUUAUACAGCCACGAGAAAGAAGGAAAUCCUGCCAUUUGCAACAACAAGGUCGAACCAUGGGGAUAUUACGCUAAGUGGAAUAAACCAGACGCAGAAAGACAAAUACUGUAUGAUGUCAUAUACGCGGAAUCUACAAAAGCCAAGGUCACAGAAACACAGACGUAAAAGACGGCUACCAGGGGGCUGUGGGAAAGGGGGAGACGUCGGUCAAGAUCACAGACUUCUAGCUCUAAGAGGAAUUUGAUGAAUGCUUCAAACAUGCCACGGACCGAAAGCGAGGGCCUUGUUACCAAUCCCAAUUAGGCAUUACAAAAGCCCCAUAAAUCUUGGUGAAUAUGUUACAGGGAAUUGAAAGCUGGAAUUGUACGGCUGGUGCACUAAAGAACACAGCAAUCAUUCUCCUAAAGGCCUCGUGUAAUUUUUGGUCUGCUUCGCAGCGUGUGUCUAUCGACAACUGGCCCGUUAUCGAUUUCCUAACCCUGAAGAACACGGCUGAUGGCUUCCGUUUUCCCGGCCAGCACGAGAUGAAGAGGCCAGAGGACGCUGACGGCCGGCUGUUUGCCUUACCAUUUGGGGACAUGUUAAUCCAAAGCGCGAAUGACCCACAGAAUCUGGGUGGCGCUGGCUUUUGAGAAUGGGAUGGAGUAUCGAUUUCUAUCCUGUUCUCUUGGUGUGUAAUUAAACAAACCACAGCCCCUGAGCGUGAGCUGGCCAGUCUUCCUCAUUAACAAGCUAAAUGAUGUCCCCUGCGAGCACCACGCACCUGUCGUGGCUCCGGGAGCACGGGAGCCGGUGGCUUCGUGACAGUUUGGACUUCCACGUUCUGCAGAACGCCAGCUCCAUUCAAAUAUGUGAUGGUUCAUUUUAGGGGUCCACCUGACUGGCUGUGGGGUGCCCGCACGUCGUCUCUGGGUGUGUCUGUGAGGGUGGCCCAGGAUGAGCUCAGCGUCCGAAUCCACAGACUUGGUAGCCUGCCGUCCCCGGUGUGGGUGGGCACCGUCUCAUCUGCGGAGGGCCUGA